GCGGAGGGAUCAUUACCGAGUUAUACAACUCAUCAACCCUGUGAACAUACCUAAAACGUUGCCUCGGCGGGAACAGACGGCCCCGUAACACGGGCCGCCCCCGCCAGAGGACCCCCUAACUCUGUUUCUAUAAUGUUUUUUCUGAGUAAACAAGCAAAUAAAUCAAAACUUUCAACAACGGAUCUCUUGGCUCUGGCAUCGAUGAAGAACGCAGCGAAAUGCGAUAAGUAAUGUGAAUUGCAGAAUUCAGUGAAUCAUCGAAUCUUUGAACGCACAUUGCGCCCGCCAGUAUUCUGGCGGGCAUGCCUGUUCGAGCGUCAUUACAACCCUCAGGCCCCCGGGUCUGGCGUUGGGGAUCGGCGGAAGCCCCCUGUGGGCACAACGCCGUCCCCCAAAUACAGUGGCGGUCCCGCCGCAGCUUCCAUUGCGUAGUAGCUAACACCUCGCAACUGGAGAGCGGCGCGGCCACGCCGUAAAACACCCAACUUCUGAAUGUUGACCUCGGAUCAGGUAGGAAUACCCGCU
rnacentral:rRNA from 1 species